UACGUAGGGUGCAAGCGUUGUUCGGAAUUAUUGGGCGUAAAGCGCACGUAGGCGGGCUAGUUAGUCGGUUGUGAAAUACCUGGGCUUAACCCGGGAAUUGCAUUCGAUACUGCUAGUCUUGAAUGCUUGAGAGGAUGGUGGAAUUCCAGGUGUAGAAGUGAAAUUCGUAGAUAUCUGGAGGAACACCCGAGGCGAAGGCGGCCAUCUGGCAAGACAUUGACGCUGAGGUGCGAAAGCGUGGGGAGCAAACAGG
rnacentral:rRNA from 1 species